GGAUGCAAUCAUACCAGCACUAACGCACCGGAUCCCAUCAGAACUUCGAAGUUAAGCGUACUUAGGCGAGGGUAGUACUAGGAUGGAUGACUCACUGGAAAGUCCUCGUGUUGCAUCCC